rnacentral:rRNA from 1 species
GACGAACGCUGGCGGCGUGCCUAAUACAUGCAAGUAGGACGAGUUGCGAACGGGUGAGUAACGCGUAGGCACCUGCCUAUUAGAGGGGGAUAACUAUUGGAAACGAUAGCUAAUACCGCCUACUAGUCGAUGGACCUGCGUUGUUUUAGCUAGUUGGUGGGGUAAAGGCCUACCAAGGCUACGAUCCGUAACUGGUCUGAGAGGAUGACCAGUCACACUGGAACUGAGACACGGUCCAGACUCCUACGGGAGGCAGCAGUGGGGAAUAUUGGACAAUGGGCGAAAGCCUGAUCCAGCCAUGCCGCGUGUGUGAAGAAGGUCUUCGGAUUGUAAAGCACUUUAAGUUGGGAGGCGUUACCCGCAGAAGAAGCACCGGCUAACUCCGUGCCAGCAGCCGCGGUAAUAC